AGAACGAACGCUGGCGGCAGGCUUAACACAUGCAAGUCGAACGCCCCGCAAGGGGAGUGGCAGACGGGUGAGUAACACGUGGGAACGUGCCCUAAGGUUCGGAACAACUCCGGGAAACUGGAGCUAAUACCGAAUGUGUCCGUAAGGAGAAAGAUUUAUCGCCUUAGGAUCGGCCCGCGUCGGAUUAGCUAGUUGGUGGGGUAAUGGCCUACCAAGGCGACGAUCCGUAGCUGGUCUGAGAGGACGACCAGCCACACUGGGACUGAGACACGGCCCAGACUCCUACGGGAGGCAGCAGUGGGGAAUCUUGGACAAUGGGCGCAAGCCUGAUCCAGCCAUGCCGCGUGGAUGAUGAAGGCCUUAGGGUUGUAAAAUCCUUUCGCCGAGGACGAUAAUGACGGUACUCGGAGAAGAAGCUCCGGCUAACUUCGCGCCAGCAGCCGC
rnacentral:rRNA from 1 species